rnacentral:rRNA from 1 species
UGGGAAUUUUGGACAAUGGGCGCAAGCCUGAUCCAGCCAUGCCGCGUGCGGGAAGAAGGCCUUCGGGUUGUAAACCGCUUCUGUCAGGGAAGAAAUCUUCUGAGUUAAUACCUCGGGAGGAUGACGGUACCUGAAGAAUAAGCACCGGCUAACUACGUGCCAGCAGCCGCGGUAAUACGUAGGGUGCAAGCGUUAAUCGGAAUUACUGGGCGUAAAGCGUGCGCAGGCGGUUUUGUAAGACAGAGGUGAAAUCCCCGGGCUCAACCUGGGAACUGCCUUUGUGACUGCAAGGCUUGAGUGCGGCAGAGGGGGAUGGAAUUCCGCGUGUAGCAGUGAAAUGCGUAGAUAUGCGGAGGAACACCGAUGGCGAAGGCAAUCCCCUGGGCCUGCACUGACGCUCAUGCACGAAAGCGUGGGGAGCAAACAGGAUUAGAUACCCUGGUAGUCCACGCCCUAAACGAUGUCAACUGGUUGUUGGGAAGGUUCCUUCUCAGUAACGUAGCUAACGCGUGAAGUUGACCGCCUGGGGAGUACGGCCGCAAGGUUG